rnacentral:lncRNA from 1 species
GGGGAGUCGGUGCGAGCCCGGAGAAGGGGUGCAGAGCCCGGGGGCGGCUUUAGGGCAGGCAGAGCGGUGGGACGGGGGCAGGAGAGGGGCAGGGGGCAGCCGGGAGCCUCCGCAGAGCUCCGCCGCCGCGCAGCGAGCUCGGCUGGAGCGGGGCCGGGGCGCCCCAAAAUCCGCCGCGGGGAGAAAAAGGGGCCCGGGGCUGCCCCCCCUCUGCUCUCCCCUCCCCUCGGGCAGGUCAAGCGCGGUCGUCCGGAGCUAUCGAUCGCUCCGCGGGCUUGUAGUGAUUUGUUGGAAGUAAGUAGGGGCGAGCAGGGGGCGCGGAGCCGCGGCGGAGCCUCCGCGGGCGCGGAGAGGGACCGAGGGGGGACCCGCUCCUGUCCGGGGGUGCGGGGCAGGCUGCCGGGGUGCUGGAAGUCCCGAGGAGAAACGUGUGGGUAGGGGAAGGGACGGGAAUUGUUCCGCGGGCAACUUUAAAGGCCGGAUGGAUUUUAUGUUUAGGGGUAAACACAAAACCAUCCACUAAAGUCAGACAUGCCUCCUUUUUUCAGGGCUAAUGGAAUGAGUCAUCGACAGAGUGGAUUAUUUAAAGCACCAUGGUCUGUGGCCAUCUUCUUAGCAGUGGAGAGGCAGGCAAGGCUGGCGUUGCAGUUGGAAGGCUGUCUCCAUGGGCUGGGACAACUCCUGCUGGAACAGAGCACUGGAGAUCUGUGGAUAUCGGCAAGUUCAGAUUUUCUCCAAAAUGUUCUUUAUACGGCCGCAACUGCUUCUCACCAUCAUUGGGGUUAUUGCUAAUCCUUGGGAUGCUCAAUUCACCUGUGGUGGCUUUGGAGGUGGGCUGAGGUUAUAUUGUGGUACGCUGGGCAUAGCUUUGGCAGGGUGCUCAGACUGAUGCUCCACUCCUGGGCCUGUUGAGGUGUUUGAUGGGAAUCGGUGGCUUUUAGGGAACACGUCACACAUGCAGAAAACUAGGUAUAUGCCAAGCAGUGGAUUAGCUGGAACUGUAGAUCAGAUUUUGUGUAUUGUGGCUGUGGACUGUUCUUUCCAUCUAUUAAGUGAUAUCCUGUUUUCCCAAGAAUAUCAUAUUUAGGAGAAAGCUGGUCAAGAAUUCUCCUAAGUAAAAGAUGUUUUUUUCUGUGCUUCACAUAAUAACAGUUCAGUGAGAUAAAAAUAGUACAGAAAACAAAUUAAACUUACAAAUGAGAGGAUAUUAGAGUUUGGUCAUCUUAAAAGUUGGUAUUGGCCUUUUUCCUGAGAGAUUAUUUUAUUUUUUUUCUCUUAUUGAUUUUUUUCAAUGUUGCUAAGGUUUCUCACUGUUUUGUUGUUACUUUCUCAUAAAACUCUCCACAAUUCUUAAGGGAAACAUUCUCAUUAAGGUCACAGUGGUAAAAGAAAUCUUUAUGGCAAGGUUAGGAAGUAUUUCUAAUGAUUUGGAGGUCUUUUUUUUUUUUUUUUUUUUAAGGCAAUUUAUCUUUACAGUGGCCAUUUUAAACUAAAGUAAAAUUCAGAGUAAUAAGACCCAUUCCCUUCCACUAGACCAUACAGAGUCCUGGGCUUCAACAAGGAAUGACAUAUGAAACCAUUGAAAAUACGGUAGAGGAACAGUAAAACCAACUUUCCAAACAGUAAGGAAAAAGUUUUAAAGCCUUGUCUAAACACAAGUUUUGCAACUUCUAACUGUGCCGAUAAUUAAGUUGAUACGAAUGUGCUGAUAUUUCCCAUCCAUGUGAGUGAAGCAAUGCUUACCCACAUAGAGGAGCCACUGCCGAGCACCUUUGGUGUUCACCCUGCUCCUCAUGCACUCAGGCUACACUUAGACUCAAAUUCAGCAAUUCUGGGAGCGUGCAGGAGGAUCCUCAGUGGGCUUUUUACCUCCACCAGCCA